GGUAACUUCCGGUUCCGCCAUAUCGGGAAGGGCACUUCCGGUGCCGCCAUGUUGGGAAGGUCAAACCGGAGGAUUAUAGGGAAUUUUUUUGGGAAUAUUUUGAGGGGGAUUUUUGGGAAUAUUUUGGGGGGAUUUUUGGGAAUAUUUUGAGGGAGUUUUGGGAAUGUUUUGGCGGGUUUUAUGAGGGGAUUUUUUGGGGAUAUUUUGGGGAAUUUUUUGGGAUAUUUUGGGGAAUUUUUUGGGACCUUUUUGGGGGAUUUUUGGUGCAAUUUGGGGGAUUUUUUGAGGCGAUUUUGGGAACUUUUUGGGGGGAGAUUUUUUGGAAUAUUUUGAGGGAUUUGGGGGAAUUUUUUGGGACAUUUUGGGGGAUUUUUGAGUCAUUUUUUUGGGAAGAUUCUGAGCUUUUUUUUUUUGGACUUUUUUGGGGGAAAUUUGAGGGAUUUUGGGACCCAAAUCCCCUCCCCCAAUUCCUCACUGACACCAAUCCCAAAUUUUUUUUUUGCCGGAAAAUUCCAAAAGGGGUGGGGGAGGGGAUUUAGGAUCGACCCCUCCCCCCCUCUCUUUAUUGGGGUGACAUCGAGGGGAGACAGAAUUCCAGAGGGGGGGGAAAAAAACGGGAAUUUUGGGUGGAUUUUAAGGGAAUUUUGGGGAAUUUGGGGUGGAUUUUAAGGGAAUUUUCAGUGGAUUUGGGGUGGAAUUUUAAGGGGAUUUUGGGGGGAAUUCCAGGGAAAAUUUCAAGGAAUUUCAAGGGGAUUUUGGCGUUGGGUUUGGGGGGAAUUCCCAGGAUUUGGGGGGAAUUCCCAGGAUUUGGGGCUGAAUUUGGGGGGAAUUCCUGGGAUUUGGGGCAGGAUUUGAGGCUGGAUUUGGGGACAGGAUCUGGAAACAAGUCCUGGGAUUUGGGGGAAAUUCCCAGGAUUUGGGGCAGGAUCUGGGAACAAUUCCAGGAAUUCAGGGCAGGAUCCGGGGCCGUUUCCCGGGAAUUCAGGGCAGGAUCUGGGGACAUUUCCCAGGAUUUGGGGGCAAUUCCAGGGAUUCAGGGCAGGAUCCGGGGCCGUUUCCCGGGAAUUCAGGGCAGGAUCUGGGGACAUUUCCUGGGAAUUCAGGGCAGGAUCUGGGGACGAUUCCCAGGAUUUGGGGCAGGAUCUGGGGACAUUUCCUGGGAUUUGGGGCAGGAUCCGGGGCCGUUUCCCGGGAAUUCAGGGCAGGAUCUGGGGACGAUUCCCAGGAUUUGGGGCUGGAUUUAGGGACAUUUCCCAGGAUUUGGGGCUGGAUUUGGGGCAGGAUCCGGGGCCGUUUCCCGGGAAUUCAGAGCAGGAUCUGGGGACAUUUCCCAGGAUUUGGGGCUGGAUUUGGGGCAGGAUCCAGGGCCAUUUCCCGGGAAUUCAGGGCAGGAUCCGGGGCCGUUUCCCGGGAAUUCAGGGCAGGAUCCGGGGCCGUUUCCGGGGAAUUCAGGGCAGGAUCCAGGGCCGUUUCCCGGGAAUUCAGAGCGUUCCGCGCUCGACGCGGGCGCGGCCGAGCUUCAUCCCGCGGAUGAUGAGGACGGUGCCGGCGGCGAUGCCGACGAUGCCGACGGCCAAGCCCAGGGCGCAGAUCGCCGUCUCCGUGGCCUCGGACGCCGGCGCCGGGAUCUGGGGCUCUGGGAAAAGCGGGAAUUCCCGGGAGAUCCCAAAACCUUCCUCAUCCUCGUCUUCGUCCCGAAAACCCCUGAGUUCUUCCUCAUCCCGAAUUCUUCCUCUUCUUCCUCAUCCCAAAUCCUUCCUCAUCCCGAAUUCUUUCUCUUCCCAAAUUCUCAUCCCGAAUUCUUCCUCUUCUUCCUCAUCCCAAAUUCUUCCUCUUCCCAAAUUCUUCCUCUUCCUCUUCUUCCUCAUCCCAAAUCCUUCCUUAUCCCGAAUUAUUUCUCAUCCCAAAUUCUUCCUCAUCCCGAAUUCUUCCUCUUCCUCCUCAUCCCAAAUCCUUCUUCAUCCCAAAUUCUUCCUCUUCCUCUUCUUCUUCUUCCUCAUCCCAAAUUCUUCCUCUUCCUCUUCUUCCUCAUCCCAAAUCCUUCUUCAUCCUGAAUUAUUUCCCAUCCCAAAUUCUCAUCCCAAAUUCUUCCUCUUCCUCUUCAUCCCAAAUCCUUCUUCAUCCCAAGUUCUUCCUCUUCCUCUUCUUC
rnacentral:lncRNA from 1 species